GACGAGGGGUCCUAGCGUUGUUCGGAAUCAUUGGGCGUAAAGCGUGUGUAGGCGGCCUUGCAAGUCAGUUGUGAAAGCCCCGGGCUCAACCCGGGAAGUGCUUCUGAUACUGCAGGGCUUGAGUACUGGAGAGGAUAGUGGAAUUCCAGGUGUAGUGGUGAAAUACGUAGAUAUCUGGAGGAACACCGGUGGCGAAGGCGGCUAUCUGGCCAUGUACUGACGCUGAGACACGAAAGCAUGGGGAGCAAACAGG
rnacentral:rRNA from 1 species